UACAGAGGUUUCAAGCGUUGUUCGGAUUCAUUGGGCGUAAAGGGUGCGUAGGUGGCGCCGUAAGUCGGGUGUGAAAUUUCGGAGCUUAACUCCGAAACUGCAUUCGAUACUGCGGUGCUUGAGGACUGGAGAGGAGACUGGAAUUCAUGGUGUAGCAGUGAAAUGCGUAGAGAUCAUGAGGAAGACCAGUGGCGAAGGCGGGUCUCUGGACAGUUCCUGACGCUGAGGCGCGAAAGCGUGGGGAGCAAACGGG
rnacentral:rRNA from 1 species